rnacentral:lncRNA from 1 species
GUUUCAAAUCACACCACCUAUGUUCUUCACUCUCCCAGAAAUCUUCCCUAUGGAACAGCUCUUUUCCUCACCGUAACAGGUAUUUAACUAGUUUAAUAUCAUUUAUAAUGCUCUAGCUUUUAACAGAAAAAUGAUAAAAAAAAAAAAAUCUGGGAUAAAAAAAUCCAAAUCUUCCUAACUCCACAUUCAGGGAAAUUAUUUGAGGAAGUGACCACAGAUGAAACUGUUUCCAGAUGUCUACAAAGGUUUUUGGGUUUUGUGGGGACUGAAGUACAGCAGGAAGCAGCAUAAGCAGACAGAAAGAAGCCUUAGUGUGAUUGAACGAACAUAGAGAAAGAAGAGCCAGGAACCACAGAGACAGCAAAGUAAUGGUCAGACACACAACCCUGGAGCCUGCCCAACUUGUGUACCUCUUAUUAUGUGAGAUAAUAAAAGUCUUCAUUGUGUAAAUCA